CAUGCAUAUCCUGGAAGUCAGACUUUCUUCAAAGGAUUAUGUUGAGAAUUAUAUAAGAUGCAAUUGGAAAGAAUUUUCUAUCUUUGAACUCAUUGAGAUUUAUUAUGAUAUCCCUAAGAUUUUAUUGAGGAAUUAGGGUUUUAACCCCAUUAAGAAAUUAGAUUAUGAUUUUUCGUUUACUAUAGGUGAGGGCUAUGGUAUCCGAUAAAAUAGGAGGAGACAUAACUAGUCAUAAGUCCUCAUAUAGUUAUGUAUGAGUGAUCUACCUAUACUAUUAUUUUUAAUUUA
rnacentral:lncRNA from 1 species